AUAAUGGGUCAGCGACUUAUAUUCUGUAGCAAGGUUAACCGAAUAGGGGAGCCGAAGGGAAACCGAGUCUUAACUGGGCGUUAAGUUGCAGGGUAUAGACCCGAAACCCGGUGAUCUAGCCAUGGGCAGGUUGAAGGUUGGGUAACACUAACUGGAGGACCGAACCGACUAAUGUUGAAAAAUUAGCGGAUGACUUGUGGCUGGGGGUGAAAGGCCAAUCAAACCGGGAGAUAGCUGGUUCUCCCCGAAAGCUAUUUAGGUAGCGCCUCGUGAAUUCAUCUCCGGGGGUAGAGCACUGUUUCGGCAAGGGGGUCAUCCCGACUUACCAACCCGAUGCAAACUGCGAAUACCGGAGAAUGUUAUCACGGGAGACACACGGCGGGUGCUAACGUCCGUCGUGAAGAGGGAAACAACCCAGACCGCCAGCUAAGGUCCCAAAGUCAUGGUUAAGUGGGAAACGAUGUGGGAAGGCCCAGACAGCCAGGAUGUUGGCUUAGAAGCAGCCAUCAUUUAAAGAAAGCGUAAUAGCUCACUGGUCGAGUCGGCCUGCGCGGAAGAUGUAACGGGGCUAAACCAUGCACCGAAGCUGCGGCAGCGACGCUGAUGCGUUGUUGGGUAGGGGAGCGUUCUGUAAGCCUGCGAAGGUGUGCUGUGAGGCAUGCUGGAGGUAUCAGAAGUGCGAAUGCUGACAUAAGUAACGAUAAAGCGGGUGAAAAGCCCGCUCGCCGGAAGACCAAGGGUUCCUGUCCAACGUUAAUCGGGGCAGGGUGAGUCGACCCCUAAGGCGAGGCCGAAAGGCGUAGUCGAUGGGAAACAGGUUAAUAUUCCUGUACUUGGUGUUACUGCGAAGGGGGGACGGAGAAGGCUAUGUUGGCCGGGCGACGGUUGUCCCGGUUUAAGCGUGUAGGCUGGUUUUCCAGGCAAAUCCGGAAAAUCAAGGCUGAGGCGUGAUGACGAGGCACUGCGGUGCUGAAGCAACAAAUGCCCUGCUUCCAGGAAAAGCCUCUAAGCAUCAGGUAACAUCAAAUCGUACCCCAAACCGACACAGGUGGUCAGGUAGAGAAUACCAAGGCGCUUGAGAGAA
rnacentral:rRNA from 1 species